rnacentral:rRNA from 1 species
UACGUAGGUGGCAAGCGUUGUCCGGAUUUACUGGGCGUAAAGAGCGCGCAGGCGGUCGGCCAAGUCGAGUGUGAAAGCCCCCGGCUCAACUGGGGAGGGUCAUUCGAUACUGGUCGACUCGAAGGCAGGAGAGGGAAGCGGAAUUCCCGGUGUAGUGGUGAAAUGCGUAGAGAUCGGGAGGAACAUCAGUGGCGAAGGCGGCCAUCUGGGACAACACUGACGCUGAAGCACGAAAGCGUGGGGAGCAAACAGG